ensembl:lncRNA
UUUUUGUGCUGGCAAAAAAUAGUGAACUUUGGAUCUGCUACCUUAGAAUUCAUGUCUAGAAGAACAGGGGCACCCCAUCAGUCCUGGAUCUUUGAGUUUUUAUCUAUUAAAGAGCUAUGAAAUAAAGCUGUGAACAUCCCCAUUUGAAAGUAACAGAGGUGGAGGGCUGACUACAACAGACCUGCAGUAUCUACAUGGCUGGCAGGUGAGCCUGUUAGACAGAAGGGAGUUUAUUACAACUGCUGGUGGUGUGGUAGGCUGCUUCUACAUGGCACCCCAUGAUCCCUGCCUCCUGGAAUUGACACCCUUGUGCAAUCCCCUCCUUUAGUGACUUGCUUCUAAAGAAGAGAAUACAGCAGAAGUGAUGUCGCUUCCAAGAGCAGUCUAGGAAACACUGUGGUGUUCCCUCUCAAUCUCUCGCCGGCGAUCUCUGCUGAAUCCAGCGGCUGCAGUGAGCUGCCCUGGAGAUGAGCAAGGAGUUAAGGACUUGAGGACAGCCUGAAGACUGUAGUCAGUGCACCAUUCCAGAGGGAACCGUGUGUAUGAGCUUGGGAGUAGAUCCUGUUCCAGUUCAGCCUUGAGGUGACUGUGACCUGUGGUCACACCUGAGUCACCUGAGUCAGAGGAACCAGCCGAGCUGCCCUGGAUCCCUCACCCAAACCAGUUCUGCAAACUGCUAUCAAGUCAGCAGAGCCUGAUUACAGCUUCUUGGAAAUCGAAAUUUCAGCAUUUCAUAUAUGAGCACCAUAUCCAUCACUGGAAAUGAAUCACAUGUACAGAAGCCCCAGAUACAAGUACCUUUAACACUGCUUUUAAGGUGAACUCCAUUUAUCUGUAUCCUCUACAAGCAAGGACUCAGGAGACAGCAACUUUGUUCCGAAUAGCAUUUCUGCCACUUAACAGUGUGAUCUUGCAAGUUACUUAGCCUCUCAUUGGGGAAAAAAAAUAUUAUCCAUAUUAAGUGGAUUAAUAUAUGUAAAGUACUUAGAGCAUUUUAAUAUAUGUAAAGUACUUGGAACAACAUAUAAAUGAUUACUAUGUUAUUAUUUCAACAAGUAAAAUCAUUACUAUAUUGAUUGUUUAUAUUGUCAAUUUAUUUUAACCCUGUGAAAUAUGCCUAAAUGGAUUCAUCAUCCUAAUUUCCUGAAAUAGAACACUGAAUCUUAGAAAACUAAAUGAUUUUCUUCAGGUUGGUGCAACAGAGUUAGAAAAAAUAUUUUCACUCUUUCCAGUCAUUUGGAGGGUUUGCUUUAAUAUUAAGAAGUAUCUGACUUAGUUCCUCUUUUGCAAAACCAUUUGUAUAACCUGUAAUUGUUAGGAUUUUUCUGGUUACAGUCUGUGACUCAUGGAUAUGGACAAGUACUGCAAUAAAAUAGAAUGAAUUGUUUUGUAACAUGGCACUUGUUGAGAUGAUGAUAUUCCUAAGGAAAUAUCAACACUGAUUCCAAAAAGAUUGGGGCAAGGACAACAGAACAUAAUGUUUUUAAAAUAAUAUACCCAAGGCUACCUCCCAGGCACAGAAUGACUAAUCAUCUUUUCUUCUGAGUAAUUUCUGUCUUUUUACCCAUGAUAUCUUCAUUCUCUCUUCACAGUCCCACAUUAUAAGCAUAAAUAAGACACUGAAUUGCUGAACUGCCCCCAGUUCUUGAUAGCAUCCCAUCCAAAUCAGCCCUUAUCCCUUCUUGGAAUCAUGCAGCCAAGUCUAAACCUUAUCAGCGUCACUCUAAUGCCUCAUUCUUAUGAUAUGUAUCUCAUCCUGGCAGUAAGUCAAUAAACCUUGUUUUUUCUUUUUUUUAGAGCUAUAGAUGUGUUCCCUGUGAUCUGUAGUCUAUGGGCCUUAAAUUGCACUUUGUCUCAAAGAAUAUAAAAAGCUAUAGCAGAGAACUGUGUACACGUAUAUACACACACACACACACACACACACACACUUUUAAUCUCUCAGUGUCUUUCUACUAACUAUACUAUGUUCUAUAAUUGACCAUAACCAGUCAUUAACUGGCUAUGAAGCAGGGAAGUUAGAAAAGACAGUAUUUUGUCUGUACUAAUGUGACUUCAAUAGAUCAGUUUGUCUUUAAAAGUGUACUCUGUUAAAUGCCUUAGAGAAAGAGAGAGCUUUUACUCUGAUUGCACUGCCCAGCAGCCUAUAAAUCAUCUAGGAGAUUAAAUAAGAAAUAACUUUUCUUUGUUUCUAGAUUUAUUUUUGCUUUAAAAAUUACUGCUGGAACAGCAACCAUGGAAAAAUGAUAAACCAAGAUUGUAAAAUUUGUAUAUACUCAGUUAUUGUUUAGGCAGACUAUGAGCAUGCAUGGUAUUAUUUAGGAAUGCACAGAUUCAUGUUUUAUGAAAAUAGUUAAUUUUAGAAUUGAUAGUCUGUCACACUAGGAAGGAUGCUGCCAGUACUCCUGACUUCCUUGUUUUUCCUUUGUGGUUCUUCUUGACACAAGCAUGCACAAUGGUCAAGGAAAACUUUGGUUCAUGAAAAAAAAUGUAUACAAACAGCCAUUGCAGGAUAGUUUAAAUAAUAUAUCUGAUUAAGAGUACCAUUUAAUGACUCUUUUACUCUAUUUUAUAUUUCUCUCUUGAGUUUCUGGUUUGUUUUUGCUUUUAUGUUUUAUUAGGAAUUUCUCUAAAGUGCUUACACUUUUAAAGUAAUCCAUAGGCUGAGCUCAUCCACACUCUUGCUACCUAGUGAAAAUCACACAGGUCUAUAAACAUUCAAGAAUAAAGAGGUAAAAAAAAAAGAAUAAAGAGGUAAUUUUGGCCACAACACAUUGAAGAAUUCAAAAUUGAGAUGAAUACCUCUAACCCAUCACCACUUG